rnacentral:rRNA from 1 species
GACGAACGCUGGCGGCGUGCUUAACACAUGCAAGUCGAACGGUGAAGGGACUGGUUUUGCUGGUCCUGGAUGAGUGGCGAACGGGUGAGUAACACGUGAGUAACCUGCCCCCUUCUUCUGGAUAACCGCAUGAAAGUGUGGCUAAUACGGGAUAUUCUGGGUCUGUCGCAUGGUGGGCCUGGGAAAGAUUGCGCCUUUUUUGGUGUUUUUGGUGGGGGAUGGGCUCGCGGCCUAUCAGCUUGUUGGUGGGGUGAUGGCCUACCAAGGCGGUGACGGGUAGCCGGCCUGAGAGGGUGGACGGUCACACUGAGACUGAGACACGGCCCAGACUCCUACGGGAGGCAGCAGUGGGGAAUAGUGCACAAUGGGCGCAAGCCUGAUGCAGCGACGCCGCGUGAGGGAUGGAGGCCUUCGGGUUGUGAACCUCUUUCGCCAGUGAAGCAGGCCUGCCUCUUUUUGUGGGUGGGUUGACGGUAGCUGGAUAAGAAGCGCCGGCUAACUACGUG